rnacentral:rRNA from 1 species
GUGGAGUAAAAUCCAUGAGCAACGCAGCUAACGCGUGAAGUAGACCGCCUGGGGAGUACGGUCGCAAGAUUAAAACUCAAAUGAAUUGACGGGGGCCCGCACAACCGGCGGAUUAUCUGGAUUAAUUCGAUGCAACGCGAAAAGCCUCACCUGCCCGUGACAUGUACGGAACUUUCCAGAGAUGGACUGGUGCUCGACAGAGAGCCGUACCACAGGUGCCGCAUGGCUGUCGUCAGCUCGUGUCGUGAGAUCUGGGGAUAAGUCCCGCAGCGAGCGCAACCCUUGCCAUUAAUCCCCAUCAUUUAGUUGGGCACUUUAAUGGGACUGCCGGUGCCAAGCCGGAGGAAGGUGGGGAUGACGUCAAGUCCUCAUGGCCCUUAUGCCCAGGGCUUCACACGUAAUACAAUGGUCGGUACAGAGGGCAGCCAAACCGCAAGCUGGAGCUAAUCUCAGAAAGCCGAUCGUAGUCCGGAUUGAGGUCUGCAACUCGACCUCAGGAAGUCGGAAUCGCUAGUAAUCGCGGAUCAGAAUGUCGCGGUGAAUACGUUCCCGGGCCUUGUACACUCCGCCC